rnacentral:rRNA from 1 species
UACAGAGGUCCCAAGCGUUGUUCGGAUUCAUUGGGCGUAAAGGGUGCGUAGGCGGCGCGUUAAGUCGGGUGUGAAAUCUCGGGGCUUAACUCCGAAACUGCAUUCGAUACUGCCGUGCUUGAGGACUGGAGAGGAGACUGGAAUUUACGGUGUAGCGGUGAAAUGCGUAGAUAUCUGGAGGAACACCGGUGGCGAAGGCGGGUCUCUGGACAGUUCCUGACGCUGAGGCACGAAGGUCAGGGGAGCAAACGGG